GAUGAACGCUGGCGGCGUGCCUAAUACAUGCAAGUCGAGCGAACGGACGAGAAGUUUGCUUCUCUGAUGUUGGCGGCGGACGGGUGAGUAACACGUGGAUAACCCACCUAUAAGACUGGGAUCACUUCGGGACACCGGAGCUAAUACUGGAUAAUAUUUUGAACCGCAUGGUUCAAAAGUGAAAGACGGUCUUGCUGUCACUUCUAGAUGGAUCCGCGCUGCAUUAGCUAGUUGGUAAGGUAACGGCUUACCAAGGCAACGAUGCAUAGCCGACCUGAGAGGGUGAUCGGCCACACUGGAACUGAGACACGGUCCAGACUCCUACGGGAGGCAGCAGUAGGGAAUCUUCCGCAAUGGGCGAAAGCCUGACGGAGCAACGCCGCGUGAGGGAUGAAGGUCUUAGGAUCGUAAAACGCUGUUAGUAGGGAAGAACAUAUGUGUAAGUAACUGUGCACAGAGUGACGGUACCUAAUGAGGAAGCGACGGCUAACUACGUG
rnacentral:rRNA from 1 species